GGGGGGGGGGGCAAGCGUUGUUCGGAAUUACUGGGCGUAAAGGGCGUGUAGGCGGUCCAGCAAGUCUUUCGUGAAAUCCCACAGCUCAACUGUGGAACUGCGAGGGAAACUGCAGGACUUGAGUCCGGGAGAGGAGAGUGGAAUUCCCAGUGUAGCGGUGAAAUGCGUAGAUAUUGGGAGGAACACCGGUGGCGAAGGCGGCUCUCUGGACCGGCACUGACGCUGAGGCGCGAAAGCUAGGGGAGCAAACGGGAUUAGAUACCCCGGUAGUCCUAGCCUUAAACGAUGAGCACUUGGUGUGGCGGGUAUCGACCCCUGCCGUGCCGAAGCUAACGCAUUAAGUGCUCCGCCUGGGGAGUACGGUCGCAAGGCUG
rnacentral:rRNA from 1 species